CACGUAGGGGGCAAGCGUUGUCCGGAUUUAUUGGGCGUAAAGAGCUCGUAGGCGGUUUGUCGCGUCGGCUGUGAAAUCCCGAGGCUCAACCUCGGGCCUGCAGUCGAUACGGGCAAACUAGAGUGUGGUAGGGGAGACUGGAAUUCCUGGGUGUAGCGGUGAAAUGCGCAGAUAAUCAGGAGGAACACCGGUGGCGAAGGCGGGUCUCGUGGGCAGUAACUGACGCUGAGGAGCGAAAGCGUGGGGAGCGAACAGG
rnacentral:rRNA from 1 species